CUGCCCAGACUCCUACGGGAGGCUGCAGUCGAGAAUCAUUCGCAAUGGGCGAAAGCCUGACGAUGCGACGCCGUGUGAGCGAAGAAGGCCUUCGGGUCGUAAAGCUCUUUCGCUUGGGAACAA
rnacentral:rRNA from 1 species